AUUCAGGUGUGCCGGGAGGUGGGAGCGGGCAGCGCUCGGCCGGGACGUGACAGCAGCUCUGCAGAGCCCACACUAUGGUGCAGGUCAUCAUCUCCAGGUGAGCGAGUGCCUGGGCCUGCCGUGCUCGGGUGCUCCAUGCCCGGUGGGUGACACCGCUCCUCUCCCUGGCAGUGCUGGUGCAGGCGGCCUGGAGCGCUGGGUGCUGGUGGAGCUGCAGGGAGAGGUGGAGCCGCGCGGUGGCGGUGCGCUGCCUGGGAGUCUGCUGGGAGACCUGCACUAUACACGCGAGGGCAUCCCCGUGCUCAUUGUGGGCCACCACAUCCUCUACGGGAAGGUGGUGCAGCUGGAGAAGCCCUUUGCUGUCCUGAUGAAGCAGGCAGCCGACCCUGCGGGAACGCGCUAUGCUGUUACUGCCCUCAUCAAGACAAAGCUGCUCUUCAAAACGCGGCCCAAGCCCAUCAUCACCAACGUGCCCAAGAAGGUGUGAGGACACAGACCUGCUGCCAUGGGAGCAAUGCUGUUCCCUUGCUGUGACAUUACUGAGGACAGCUGGGACAUGAACUGAGCGUCCGCCUUAGCCAAGGUGCAUCCUGCAGGGCCAGGCUGUGCCCCCACUGGGGGCUGCACGUGACUGUCACCAGCACCACCUCAAGCACCAGAACUCAGCUCUGCAGUCGUACACAUUGUGCUGUCAGCUAUUCCCAUCCUCCUGCCUGUGCCAGGAUGGCUUGGGCUCACUCUCAAGCUGGCUGCUUUUUCAUAUUCCCUUCUAAAGUCACCCCUGCAGCCAGCAGAGCUGUAGACAGGGUCUACCACUUCAGUUUUAGCACCUUCCUCCCUUGAAUCUCCCCAAAUCUGGGAGCCCACGUGGAGUUGGGCAGGGGGAGCAGGGAUGACACACCAUCUUUUCUCUGUGCAAGUCUUUAUUGUGUCAAAUCCACCAGGAUAUAAAAAACAGGCCUCUCAAAAUAUGAAAAAAAUAUGAGUUAAAAAAUAAAUAGAUUUACAAACAAUCGGCAAUAAAGUGUAAAUACGAAAAG